AGCGGCGGACGGCUGAGUAACGCGUGGGAACGUGCCCCAAAGUGAGGGAUAAGCACCAGAAAUGGUGUCUAAUACCGCAUAUGGUCUUCGGAUUAAAGGAUUUAUCCGCUUUGGGAGCGGCCCGCGUUUGAUUAGAUUGUUGGUGAGGUAAUGGCUCACCAAGUCGACGAUCAAUAGCUGGUCUGAGAGGAUGAUCAGCCAGACUGGAACUGAGACACGGUCCAGACUCCUACGGGAGGCAGCAGUAAGGAAUCUUCCACAAUGGGCGAAAGCCUGAUGGAGCAACGCCGCGUGAAGGAUGAAGGCCCUAGGGUCGUAAACUUCUUUUAUAAGUGAAGAAUAUGACGGUAACUUAUGAAUAAGCACCGGCUAACUACGUGCCAGCAGCCGCGGUCAUACGUAGGGUGCAAGCAUUAUCCGGAGUGACUGGGCGUAAAGAGUUGCGUAGGCGGUUAGUAAAGUGAAUAGUGAAACCUGGUGGCUCAACCACUCAGACUAUUAUUCAAACUCACUAACUCGAGAAUGGUAGAGGUAACUGGAAUUUCUUGUGUAGGAGUGAAAUCCGUAGAUAUAAGAAGGAACACCAAUGGCGUAGGCAGGUUACUGGACCAUUUCUGACGCUAAGGCACGAAAGCGUGGGGAGCGAACCGGAUUAGAUACCCGGGUAGUCCACGCCGUAAACUAUGGAUACUAGCUGUAGGGGGUAUCGACCCCUUCUGUAGCGAAGCUAACGCGUUAAGUAUCCCGCCUGUGGAGUACGGUCGCAAGACUAAAACAUAAAGGAAUUGACGGGGAGCCGCACAAGCGGUGGAUCAUGUUCUUUAAUUCGAUGAUAAACG
rnacentral:rRNA from 1 species